CAAAGAAUAGUUUAAUAAGAAUCUUGGCUUUGGGAGCCAGGGGCAGGAGUUAAACUCUCCUUUCUUUGA
rnacentral:tRNA from 1 species